rnacentral:rRNA from 1 species
UACGAAGGGGGCUAGCGUUGUUCGGAAUCACUGGGCGUAAAGCGCAUGUAGGCGGAUGUGUCAGUCAGGGGUGAAAUCCCGGAGCUCAACUUCGGAACUGCCCUUGAUACUGCACGUCUUGAGUCCGGAAGAGGUGGGUGGAAUUCCUAGUGUAGAGGUGAAAUUCGUAGAUAUUAGGAAGAACACCAGUGGCGAAGGCGGCCCACUGGUCCGGUACUGACGCUGAGGUGCGAAAGCGUGGGGAGCAAACAGG